UCCUUGGGCCUUGGAGAGCUUUCCGGCGAUCUCUACGGGGAGGGAAGUCUUUCCCAUUAUCUACUAUAUUUCCUAUAUAGUUUCUCUAGAUCUAUCAUUCUAUAUGUCUAGUUAUGACUGUAAUGAAUCCAUUGUUGAUGGACUGUAUUUUGAUUGAUUGUUUGUGUUGAUUUGGAUCUCUAUUGGGUAUAUAGCUUACUGCUUGAUUGAUCUCUUAAUCAGUAUAGUAUGAUGAUUGAUUGAUCUCUUCAUCAGUAUAGCAUGAUGAUCGAUGUGGAGUUUUCAUGUGUUUCGAUACCCUGUGAAUCAAUUUCAGUGAUAAUCCAUUGAUUUGGAGUUCUUGUGAAUUAAUUCACAACAAUCUCAGUGUGUGGAUUUCUUGCAUGAAUAACUUAGAACUUUUGGGGAUUCUAUCUGUUCUUACUAAGUUCUAAUGGUAAAAUUUGGAUGUUACUUCAUCUAUCUGUUCUUAUUUGAAAUUCUUGUGAUGAUAUUUUGGAAACUACUUUCUCUUAGCUCCUCUUCAAGAUUAUCUUGUUACACUUGAUCUCAUCAAUUAUGCAAAAAACCAGCCUCAUCUUGCCAUCCUUGCUGUGAAUAUGUUGAGACUAGGAAUGUUUUUUUUCUCCUCAUUUACCUCUAAAAAGCUAGCAAUUUUAAUGAGCUGAUUCUGUUGAAUGAGUUGAAAAUGCAAAUGCAAUCCUUUGUUCAUUGUAUAUUUUCCCAUUUUUUCUAGGAUAGUACUUGCCUCAAAAUCAAAUCUUUUGCUUGUCAUAAUCCUCGAAUCAGAUUUUAGAUUCUCAGAAGCUCAAAUGGUUGAAUAGAGUUCUAAUAUAUAUUUUAGAGUUCAAUGGUUAUUUAUGACCUCUGAUUUUUUCUGGUGAAUUUGUAUAUUUUACAGUUUUUUUAGUUGUGUUAUUGAGUUUUGAUCAUCCUUAUGAUUUAAUCACUUUUUAUAAGAUUCACAAGGUUCCAAUCCUCUAAUUUGUGCUCAACUGUGAGGACAAUGGAAUGCAUCCUUGUUGAUAAAAUCACUGAAACAUGAUCCCCUUCAGAGAUCUGACUAAUUUAUAUAUUUUUCUUAUCCAAAUUUUUUUCUGUUAGUUUCAUUAGUUUUCUUUUCCUUGAAUAAUUCCUCAUAACUUGGUUCAUGCUGCUUUCUUUCGUCUGCAUCAUCAUUAUUAUUAUUUUUCAUUUGCUUGUAUUGGUGCCACACCUAUUGCUGUUGUUUUACCAGUAUUUAAUUCAAAUUUUUAGCUGUAUGUAUUUGGAACAGAAUGAUGAUCGUUAUGUUUGAAAAACUACUGCAAUUUGUGUUUCAAAGUUUUCUGAUAAUUGCUGAGCUAUUGAAAGACCGAGGCUUUUCGGAGACUCUUCGGGAUUUGAUAUCUGACAAUAAUCCAAUGGUUGUGGCAAAUGCAGUUGCUGCAGUUGCAGAAAUCCCAGAAAAUAAUACUGGACCUUUUUUUGAGAUCACCAGUGACUAAACAUCUUCAAAGCUCUUGACUGCUCUGAAUGAGUUCACUGAGUACAAAGUAGCUAAUGCCCAGGAAGCUGAAAAUAUAGUGGGAACAAGUUACUCCAUGUCUCCAGCAUGCCAAUUGCAGUGUUGUUCUUUCUGCUGUCAAGGUUUGAUUAAUAAUCUUUUCAUCAAAGUCUUUAAUUUGUUCUAUGUAGACUUAUAUGAGGUGAAGGGCAUAUAUGAUGCAAAGAUUUUGGUUUUUGUAGAUGAUUUUUCUGCAAAUGGAACUUAUUUUAGCAGUCAUGUUGUGGUUCAAAAUCUUUGCAAGAAAAUGGUGUCUCUUGUUACUCUUUUUUCUGCAGGACCUGAAAUACACUAUGUUGCUGUGUGUAACAUCAAUCUAGUUGUACAAAAACUACCUACAAUCCUUGCACAUGUAAUCAUGAUGGAGAAGCCAGAGGCUUAUGAUAAAACUUGCUUCAGAUUGGAAACAUAGACCAGGGACAUACCCACAUGCCAGAAAUUGAACGUCCAACCUGUGUGCCUUCUCCCGGUGAAGAGGGAAUUGGGUUGUAGGUCUGAACAAUCAAUCAAGGACCCGUUAUCACUAUUGUGUCCAGCGGAACUUGAACUCAGGACUAUUUGAAUAUCGCACACCAAUAUUUUUCGCAGUGGGCUCAAUACCAUUGAGCUAUGAAUCUUUGUGUCGAUUUUGCUCUUUGAUUAUUUAUUAUUUGUGACAUA